UUCAUCUCCUUCUUCCCCUUGAUUUUUCUUCUUCAUUUCAUCAUUUCUUCUCACAAAAAAAACUUUUCUAAGCUUCUCAACUCUCCCUCAUCCAUCUCUAUCAAUAUUUCUUUAGAUCUUCAUGUUUUGAGCAUUUUCAUCCCACACCUAUUUUUGGUGAAACCCAUUUUCUAAAACUCAUUUUCUUUACAUUAAAAUGACUUCUUCCUCCAAGGGAUCUUCUUUUAUAGCUUCUCAUGGUAAGAAAUAUGAUCUAUCAUUUGAGUCGCAUGAGGAUGAUGGCCUUCUUCAAGACCCUAGGACCCAUGCUCCAUAUAGUCAUGUAGACACCAAGAUGAACUUAAAUCCUUAGGCUGGAUGUGAGGGGUAUGCUGAGUGUGAGCGGGCUCUAGAUCAAAAUGGCCGCCAGGUAUUGUUUAAAUGUAGGCAUGGAAAGUACUGGUAUCUUGGUGAUCGGGUGUUGCCCCAAGUUGAACAUGUCUAUCCUCCUACCACAAUUCCAACUCCUCCUUGUCUCACUAUUCGGUUGGCUAAACUCCUGGCUGAUGAAGAGAUUGCUUGGGCCUAUGAUGGCUAUAUUGUUGCAAGAGUAAAAGGAAAUUACUCUGAAUUUGUUCGAGAUCACUUUCAAAGUUGCUUAGUUGAUAGAAUGCCUCCAUCUUUUAAAUGAGAGAAAGAGAUUCCCUCUCCUCACCAUGCUGGUGGUUCUUCUAGUUCUUUCAUAGAGACUUAUCCGCAUUUUCUGGCAUAACAGUAUGAUGUGAUUAAUCCUGAUAGAAUGUAUAGUUCCAUGCCUUUGACUAGGCCAGAGCAUGUGCCAAAUGUUCCUUGCCCCAAUUCAAUGUGUUCUUGAAUGUUCAGUUUUUUGUCCUUAUUUCUUGAAUGGCUUCUAACUCAAUAGAGUUGGGCUUCAGGUUGAUGUGGAUCUUGUGGAAGAAAGCGUGUGGAUGAUUGGAAGUUUGCAGUCAUUGGCUUAUACCCAGUCCUCCCAAUAUGUGAUCAAUGAUUCUAACUAAGCACUUUGAAUGGAAACCGCUGACAAUACUAGAAGAACUUUGGAGGAAAGAAUCCAGAACCUCAAACUUGAAAAUCGUCAGUACAAUCCCCGCUUUUUCUCAAGUCAAGAAGGAAAUACUGAAGAUGGCUCCUCUAGGGGUGGAUCAAGGAGAUCCUCACAUAGGCGGACUCAGAGUCCUAAUAAUGUAUGAAUUGUAUUUUUAUUUUCCUGAUGAGAUCCUGUAGUACUAAUUUAAACUUAUCUUGCUUGGCUUUUGUUGGAAUCUGCAUUUACUUGCAUGAGGUGGAGCCAA